rnacentral:rRNA from 1 species
UAGCCGUAAACGAUACUCGCUAGGUGUCGGCCACGGUGCGACCGUUGUCGGUGCCGUAGGGAAGCCGUGAAGCGAGCCACCUGGGAAGUACGGCCGCAAGGCUGAAACUUAAAGGAACUGGCGGGGGAGCACAACAACGGGUGGAGCUUGCGGUUUAAUUGGAUUCAACGCCGGAAAUCUUACCGGGACCGACAGCAACAUGAAGGCCAGGCUGAAGACUUUGCCGGAUUAGCUGAGAGGUGGUGCAUGGCGUAGACGUCU